rnacentral:lncRNA from 1 species
UUUUGUAACCUAAAAAUUACAAAUUUUUUACUAAGUUUUUGUUCCAUAAAAAAAUGCAUUAUUAUUUAUUUCUUUUCAAAAAUGAAACUAAUAAAGUAUGUCAUGUGAAUUUUAAUUGCUCUUAGACAUUAAGGAAAAAGCUGAAAAAUUAAUAAUUAAAAUUUCUGAAUAUAUAUAUAUAUAUAUAUAUAUAUAUAUAUAUAUAUAUAAACAAAAAAGGGAAAGAAAAAAAUUUUAAAAAAAUUAAUAGCAAAAUUUAGUAAAAAGGAAAUUGAGUCGGAUACUUCAUGCUCUUAACAUUUGUCACUAAUUCUAUUUCUAUUUCUAUUUCUAUUUCUCAAACAUAACCAACUUCAAAUACAGUCCAAACCAAAUCUUCCAAAAAAAAAACAAAAGACAAAUUAUAUUUGCAAACACAUUUAGAAACCAAAUCUUUUACAAAAUAGAUAUAAUCACUUUUUCCAACUGUUCCGCCGUGUUUUGAAUGACGCUUAAUCUUAAAAACUGAGAUUACAUUCCAUUUCACCUCCUGCUUCCCCUUUUCUCUCUCUCUCGCGCUCCCGCUCUCUCUCUCUCUCAUCCAUUCCCCUUUUUAACUUCUUCAGUCCAGACUCCAUCAUUUCUCAUUGAUUUCAAUCACAUGAAUUUGCCAAUUCUUGGAGCCACAAUGAAGAGAAAGAGUUGCAGUCCUUGCGACUCUCUCGUGAGCUUGUUUGACGAUGAUGAAUUGGAGGUUUCUAAAAUCCUGUUCGAAAUUCCUCGGAUAAUCUUCCAAUCUGAGAAUCGCAAUCGUCUUUUAGUCGCUUGGGGCGUUAGGAAGAGAAGAUCUGCCAUUGAUCCUGACUUAUAUCCGCCUUCUGUUCCUUCAUCGUCGUCGCCUCAUCUUCCCAGUUCUUGUGUGGGUCCGACUUGUGACGAUGAUGAUCCUCCAGCGAAGGUUGAACCUUCCAGCCCUGCCACGCCUCUCUCCUUCUCCCCCAGCGAAUCUGAUGGCAAGUCUAAGCGCUCUAAGAAGAGUGUUUCAUCUAAAAAGGUAUCUUUCUCAAAUCUCCGAUUUCCGAUUUCUCAUUCGUUUUGCUGUGUUUUUUUUUGGGUAGUUUCCUUUUUUUAUUUUCCCAUUUUUGUUUUCAGUUCUUGAUAUUUGAAAUACUAUGUUACCCAUGUCCUGUUCCUGUAUUUGACCGUUAUUAUUAUUCUUAUUUUAAAUUUCUGAAAAAAAAAAAAAAAAACUGACAUCUUUGCGACUACUUUUCUUGUUGUCCAGAAGAAGGAAAUUUUGUUGAAGAUGAUUGAGGAUUUGACUCAUCAGAAAGAGUUCCUAAAGACGGUGACUCAUCAGAAGAAGGAGACUCUUGGACCGGAACUAGUUGCGCCGUUGGAUCUCAACCUCAGUAUUGCUCUGAACGCUGAUACCACACAACUAAAGAGGGCUGCAGCUGCUCAGGCCAGGAAGAAGAGGCUUCAGAUUUACAAAGUGAAGAAAUCCAAAGGCUGUUCAAGUCCCUCUAUCCUCUCUUUUGGUUAGCGGUUCAAGAUUGGUUCAUCUCUUCAAUGGAAGUUUUAUUUUCCCAGAAUUUUUAUGAUGGAUUCAAUCUCUGAUACAAUAGAUAUACCUUUGUUGUUAUAUUUCAUCUCUUCAACAAAUUUAGUAAUAAGCAGGAUACAAAUCAAUUCUUGAAUGUACAGUGACUGUCGCAAUGCAACAAUUGUAAACAAUUAUUAAUUUUGGUGUUGCUCUGCUAUUUCAUCUGUGCUUAUAUAUAGAAGACAUGGAGCCAUAGCAGUUGAGCAUAGCGGUGAAUGAAGAGUGGCAAUGAGUGUUGACUGUUGAGGAUGGAAUAUGAAAAAGGGAUCCUUAUGUUUUCUCAUAUUUCAUGGACUUUUGUUCUGAUUUGUCAAAGACAAAAUAAAACUCUGGAUUAAAAUAUGCGGUACAAGUGAGUCCCUCACCAAACAAGCUCGUGAAAGCUGUAAAUAAGAAGCGCACAAUCCAAGUUGUUUAAGGAAUUGACUGCUUGUUACUUAAAUAGACAUCCAUAUCGUAUCGUUUAAAUGCGGACAUGGAAAACUGAUGAUUGCAUAGAAAAUUUGGUAAGAUUAAACGGCUACUUUUCCUUACAAUUUCCAUCUGGUUUCAACUAAAAACCCAAUGACAUACCAGCAAAAUGAGAUCCCUAAUACAACAAAGAAUGGCCCACCUCAUCCCUUUGGACACCCCAGUUGUAAAAAUGAGAAAUCCUUAUUCAGAUGCUUGAAUAGAACACAACCCACAAACAUUAUAUUAUGGAAGAGAAGAUUCAAACCAGGUGACGAUACAAACAAGCUGCAAGCAAAAUGGAAAUAAAUCUGAAACUAUAACAGCCACAUAUAGUAGUAGCAGAUAAAUGGGCAAAGCUUAGGUGCUCAUCUCCCAAAAUCUUAUUUAGGCUUUAAGGCUUUUAGGCCUCAUAAUUCUCUUCUGGGCCCUCCUCAUACUCACCCUCGUCAUCAGCAGUUGCAUCCUGGUAUUGCUGGUAUUCUGACACCAAAUCAUUCAUGUUGCUCUCUGCUUCCGUGAAUUCCAUCUCAUCCAUUCCUUCCCCAGUAUACCAGUGCAAGAAAGCCUUGCGCCUGAACAUGGCUGUGAACUGCUCGCUCACCCUCCUGAACAUCUCCUGGAUUGAAGUGGAGUUCCCCACAAAUGUAGAUGCCAUCUUCAGACCUCUUGGUGGAAUAUCGCACACACUGGAUUUCACGUUAUUAGGAAUCCACUCCACAAAAUAUGACGAGUUUUUGUUUUGCACAUUGAUCAUCUGUUCGUCCACCUCCUUGGUGCUCAUCUUUCCCCUGAACAUGGCCGAGGCAGUCAGGUAGCGGCCAUGCCGAGGGUCAGCCGCACACAUCAUGUUCUUGGCAUCCCACAUUUGCUGAGUUAGCUCUGGCACUGUGAGGGAGAUGUACUGCUGGGAUCCACGAGAGGUGAGUGGUGCAAAACCCACCAUAAAGAAAUGAAGGCGAGGGAACGGGAUCAGAUUCACAGCCAGCUUGCGGAGGUCUGAGUUCAGCUGGCCAGGGAACCUCAGGCAGCAAGUCACCCCACUCAUAGUCGCAGAGAUCAAGUGGUUCAGGUCACCAACUGCACACCCAAGAUAGAAGAAAGUUUUAAUAUCAAUUUUCCUCAUUUUCAUACUAAUUAUCCUAAAAAUAAUUUAGUACUCACAGCUAGGAGUGCUGAGCUUGAGAGUCCUGAAACAAAUAUCAUAAAGAGCCUCAUUGUCCAGAACCAUGCAUUCGUCAGCAUUCUCUACCAACUGGUGCACUGAGAGGGUGGCAUUAUAUGGCUCCACAACUGUGUCAGAGACCUUUGGAGAUGGGAAGACGGAGAAAGUGAGCAUCAUUCUAUCUGGGUAUUCCUCUCUCAUCUUUGAUAUCAGGAGGGUCCCCAUGCCAGAACCAGUGCCUCCUCCAAGUGAAUGGCACACUUGAAAACCUGGCCCACACAAAAAAGCAACACACUGAGCGCGUCAGCCAAAUUAGAAUGAUUUUUACCUCACUUUUACCAGCCAAUUUCCUUAUAUAGUACGUAUGGAAAAAUUCACCGACAACUCAAUAAAUAUCAAUUUCUUCCUGGAGAAGGAAAGAAGUUGUUGAAUGCUUCCCAUGAUCUUGUAGUAAACCAGUGUUUACUUUUAGCUCAACAAGGACAGACCAUAAUAGAGCCAAAAUUAGACUUCAGAUUUCUAAUGUCCAGCAUCUUUUGAAUAAUUGAGUUAAAGCUAAGUCACUUAAAAUGCAAUCACUGUCCAUAGGAUUACAAAUCACUUUCAGGAAAAUGCAGUCACAUAUCAGUAAAAUGAGCAAAACUGUUCCAUCCAAAACUUUUAGAGUAUCAAUUCCACAUUGUCUUGUUCAUGAGGCACGCUCAAGAAAGGAAAAGAAAUGCUUGGCUCUAGAAGGAUGUCCAAAUAAUGUUUGCAACAAGUACAAAAGAAUUGCAUUAUUUGGGGUUAGCUAUGCACAAUCUGGUUUCACCCUUCUACUCCGGACAACUCUUCCGAUCAUUGCAAUUAUCAAUAGGAGCAGUAAUCAAAUGUUUUGAAAUGGUUAUUCUUUACUAGACAGAAAAAAUGAUAAUAGUCAACACUCUUGCUUUAUUAAAUUUCCUUUUGUACCACUACUCAGAUACGGAUCUUUCCAGGUGAAAAGGUGUACAUAAAAAUCGAGAUAUUAAUUGAUUGUUUACCAUAAUGUACUUCAUCAUGUCAAGGAUGUGUUGGCUGACCUGGAUCAGAGACAACACUAGAGCCCCAUGUCCGUGCCAUAUUAGCGAGCCCCACAAGGCAACAUCGAUGGUCUUGAAAGUCUUUUACUACCAUAACUCCAUUUCCCUAAGAUUUCCCGUUUCAUGCCCAAUUGGUAAAAGGAAAAAAUCCUUGUUGGUCCUGCAGGAUCUUAUUUGUUGGGCAAUCAAAAUCAUACCGGAAAGGAUAUUAGUAUAUUUUUAUUUUUUAAAUAUACAAUUUGGGAAUAAGACACUUGUGUCUGCACACCAGACAAAAAGGGGCCUACUAUACGUCCAAUGAGGCUCAACCUUAUCCUUGUUUCAUCACACACAUCACCAACCCUUGACGACAGCAAAUAAUUAAAUACAAUGAAUAAAGCAAUAUAGCAUUAUUGGCAUGACUGCCCUUAAACCAGGUUGGCAAUGAACAAUAUAUUUUAUAAUUACAGCCUGGAAAAUAGGAUCUAAUUAUAAUAUAAAGGCUAUUCAUACAUUUUAAAUUCAUAAUUAUACAAAAUAUGGUAACAAGUUUGGGCAUAAAGUUAUUCGAACAAACAAUUUGCAAAGCUAAAAGGAAACAAGGUUUGCAAAGGUAAAAAAGGAACCACAUCCGGAAUGAGAUUGCAUCAAUUUCAGAAUUUCAGAGUCCAAACAGAUUAAAGAACCAUAGUACUAUAAGAAAAUAACAAUAAUCGUUUUUAAAAUUCUUAAUUCUUCAGGGGAACUGUGCUGGGAGAUUUCACCGCAUAAGUUAAGUUAAUGGCAUUGACAAAAAAACAGAAUAUUGCCAAAGAAUAUAUAACGUCAUUUGCACUGAAAUCUAAAUUGUUAUAACUUAUUUCAAUUAUCAUAAGAUCUGAUCAGGAGACACAGAAGUAAUUUUCGGACAACGUAACUAUUGAGAGAUUUUUACACUAAACAAACAGCCCUGAUAAAACACUAGAAUAAAAGAAGAGGCUACUGGAAUUAUACACUCUAGUAUCAAGCAUUAAUUAAUAAUGAUUUUGAAAUCUCAAGAUUGCAAACUUAAUUCCAACUCUCAGAUCCUCUUCCGAUCUGAGAUCCAAGUAAGCUCUCCAGGACUCCAACCGAUAAAUUAUAGCAAAGGCACAUAAUCCUACCCAUCCAUCCACUUGGUUCCUGAGAGGAUUGUUAGAAAAAGAAAUGAAAAUUCGGAAUCAACAUAACUGAAACUGAAUUUCCAACUCUUUUGCCUUUUAGUCCCCGAUUUCCCAGCAACCAAGCAGAAUGCAGGCUUCAAUCACACAUAAAAAAUACUAAAACGAAAAUUGCUCACACUAACGAAGUUAAACAAAAACAAAUCACCUUGCAUGCAAUCACAAUUCUCAGCCUCCUUGCGAACAACAUCGAGAACCGCAUCAAUCAACUCCGCCCCCUCAGUAUAAUGACCCUUGGCCCAAUUGUUGCCGGCACCGGACUGACCAAAAACGAAAUUAUCAGGGCGAAAGAUCUGCCCAUACGGUCCCGAUCUGAUACUGUCCAUAGUCCCAGGCUCAAGAUCCAUGAGAACAGCCCUGGGAACGUACCUUCCACCAGAAGCCUCAUUGUAGUAGACAUUGAUCCUCUCCAACUGAAGAUCAGAUGAACCAUCUCCGUUGUACCUCCCAGUGGGAUCCACACCGUGCUCGUCGCAGAUGACCUCCCAGAACUUGGAUCCAAUUUGGUUACCGCAUUGGCCUCCCUGAACGUGCAAGAUCUCCCUCAUCGUUUUUGUGUUUGGAGAGAAUGAAAAUGAAAACGAAAACCAAAAAUUGAGUGGUGGUGGUGAUGGUGGUUGUGGAGGAGUUCGCGGGAGGCAGUGAGACUCGGGUGGCGUCCGCUAUUAAUUGACAGCGAGAUUUUUAUUUUUAUUUUUGUUUUUAUUUUUUGAAAUGACGAGUCACGUGCCUGGUGGGCAUGGGCUAGGUAUAAUGCCACAACCGCCUGACACUUGCCACGUGCAUCACCGCUCUCAUGCUCCCACAUUUAUUUUAUAUUUUCAUCUCUAUAAUUUUGGAUUUUUUUUGGGGUAAAUCAGAUAAUGGACUUAAUUUUAAAUCAAUGCUACAAUUAGAACAUUUAGGCUUAUUGAGUAUAUCGACAUUAUAAAUUUAUAAACCUUAUUAUAUAACCAAUUGGAUGGGUUCAAGUUAUCAGACUCCCAAUCCAAUACAAGCCCAACUUUAUUUUAGGCUGUAAUUUUUCUUGUUCAAGUUGAAUUAAAAUUACAAAUUAAAUUCCUUGAAUUUAUUUUAUUAUAAAAAAAAAUCAAAUAUAAUUAAAAUUAUUAAAAAGUUUACAUAUCUUAAAAUUAUUUAAUCUUUAUAUUAAAAUUUAAUAUAAAACCCUUCUUACAGUAACAAUGAACUCCCUGUCAAUAUCGACUCUCCAUCCCUUGAACCAAGAUACCCAUCCCCUUCACCCCAAGAUUAAGGUAACUUGUAAAUCUUCCUUUUUUCUUUAUACCUAUUUUUUUUAUGAAAUUUUUUUUUUUUUUUUUUAACACAUUGGUAUAAUAACUGAUAUAACUAGGUUGAAGCAAUUGAAAAUUCUAAUUAAACUAUCAUCAGACGUAAGUUAUUGUUUUGUGUGUUGCAAGACUAAAGAUGAGGAUCACAUGUUGAAGCUUGUGGAAGACUCAACCAAUUGCAAAGCAGAUCUUCGAAAGGUAAGUUGGAAUCCUCCCUCUCCAUUUUUUUAUUUUUUUUAAUAUUAUAUAUAUAUAUAUUGAAUUUUGUAAUGUAGGAAUAGUAAAGGUUUUUCUAAUUUCCCUACUUUUCCCUUGCAAUCAGGCAAUAGGGAAUGUGGAAGUGUAUUACGCCAGGCUAGGAUUUCAAUAAGUAUUGGUAUCGGAAAGCAGAGUAUUGCAGCCAGACUGAGAAUCAGUAUGAUGAAUAGGGCUUUGAGUUGACCCGGUUAACACUUUGCAACCGAAAACAUGUGAAUCCGAGUCUUUGACUCGGGCAAUCUAUGCUGGGCUAGACCAGCCCCUACGCAGCAAUUUAUGUCAAUCCUAAUUAUAUUAUUCUUAUUGUUUAUACCACUUAAUUUUUUAUUUUAUUUAUGUUUGCAGUUAAGGUUCUUUUCAAAAUGGGCAGAGGCCCGUCAGGGCUAGGGGUUUUGAUAAAUGGCAUGGAAGUAGAACCUCCAUACCAGCCUCCCACCGUUGAAAAAAUUGCGUGGGUUCAGUCCCGUGAUGAAGCAAAUUGCCUGAUAACCAAUCAGUCACCCUUUUUUUAAUCGGUGAUCAGAUGGUACAAAUUGCAUCAUAAUCAGGCAUUUGACAGAUCAUCAGAUGACAAACACAGGCCCAAAUAAACAGCCGAAUAAGUCCAACAACAAAGAACAGAAUCAUUGAUCAAGGAACCAACUCAAAUAGAAAUUUGUCCACCAUAUCUACUGAACACAGAAAGCCAUUCUUGCUUAGGCAAGAAGGCUUGAGAUCACAAUUGAUCAAAAGCUCCCAAUUGUACAGGCUCUAAGAGCAUCCAAAGAAGGAUUUCUGUAGUUUUUUUUUUUUUUUUUUCUUUGCUUAAGGCAUCUGUGUCUAAUUAAAGAAAAUUUACCUAAUUUGUUAAUGGAGAGAGAUAUUAAAUGGAGAACUUAAGAAUAAUUUUGCACUAUUUUGUAAUCUAGACCACUCUUCCUGGAUAAUUAGCCCCUCAAAAUCACAAAGUUUUAAGUCAGGUAUGUUCCAGAAGUACAACAAUGCGGAUGACUCUUCCUCUCAAUGUAGCUGUUUACUAGAGAAACCAGAUACCUGAUUUCCUUCCUGAGUUCUAAUAGCACAUCUGAGGCUUAGUAUUCUGAUAAGCAAAUACUGAAACCAGCUUUUCAGCUUCCCACCUUCCCUUCUCCAUUUUUUCCUAGUAAUAAACCAAAAAAAAAAUUGUGUGCCACCAAGCAUAUUAGGAGCAUAUAAUUUCAGUCUUUUUUUCAUUUCCCUCAACCAAACGUUGGAACUGAAAAGCUCUCACAAGGGGAAAUCAUUUUAAUCCAGUCAUAUAAAAAAAAAAAAAAAAAAAGUUCAGUCAUAUGAAAGAACAACAACAAAAAGUAUAAAUUGAAGCCAACUUUACACGAUUGCUAUACUAUAUAGGAUGGCAGAAGAAACAUUACAAGUGAAGCCACUGCAGUAGUGCUGCUAAAGUUGAGCCUCAUUGCAGAACUUUUUGAAGUUCAAACAUUCAUCCACCAGAAACUCUCUGCCAAAACAUUUUAAUGAUAGAAUUAAGUGUGGGAAUGUAAUUUAAAAACUAAAAAACGUUUUUAAGCAACUUACAAGAUUCGCUCAGCCAUUUGUGAUGAUUCCCAUCUAGGACUCCACGGAUACUCUGUCAAAAGAUGUGAUUUGAUUGGUGCACCUUGGGAAUUGAAAUGCUGCAAAAUUACAAGAAAGUAAACUGAUGAAUGAUAGGCACAGAAAGUAGAAGUUAGCCCAAAUGAUUUUCUUCAAGCUUUUGAGGCUCAUUGUAGAACUAAUAAUGAUUCAUAUGAUAUCAGUCAAUCAAUCUUCACAUUGAGAGGCAUGAGCAUCAUUAGAACAUUGGUGUAGUGAACAGAGGCAUGGUAGAGCUCCUGUAAAAGAGAAGGAAAAAAAAAAGGAGGAAAAAAUAAAGAAAAUAUACACAGACAAUUACACAUUUUAUUUCCAGGCUGAUCUACUGACUUCAGGCAGUUGCAGAUGACAAAUUCAAAGGUAACCUGAACAGAAAUGUAGAUCACAACUUGCUUCUUCACACAAAAACUGCAUACCCGUUCAAUUAUGCUCUCCAAAAAAAAGGGAUAGUACUGAUAGGAAAAUUCGAUGUACUGACUUCUGAUGACCCAAAAAAAAAAAUAUGUCUAGGUCUGAUCCUAGCUCUAGAGAUAAUACAUUUAAGUCAUCAAAUGUGGGAAGGUAUUUUGAUCAGGUUACAGAAGAAAGCUAUUCUACGAAGGUGUGACACUCAUUUUGUUGUAAUCCAGGGUGCACUCAGUGAACUAUUUUUUCUUCAUCUUUAAAGAGUAAGUGCAUUUGCAUAGCAACAUUUCAAGCUAAAAGAUCGGCCUCAAUUUCUUGGUCAAAGGCAAAGGUCAACAGUAUAUAUGUCCACUAUAUAGGCAACAAGUUGGGUAACAUAAUCCCACUAGCUCUCAUGAUGAGAAUCAGUGAGGCUAGAAAGGAAAAAAUGCACCCCUAUUGAACCAUCAGGCACCAGAAAUUCCAAACACAGAAUCAUAUAUAAGCAAUUCAGUACUUGAGAACCCAAAUAGACAUCCACCAUAAAAGCUGAUGAACCAACUGCAUGCACAUGGCUAUCCGAUGAUAUAUAGUAUCUGUCAACUUUCAUAACCAUCAAUAUCUAUAUCAUCAUUUUUCACCUCAAAAUAUACAGACAAAUAUAGAAAAAUCCAUAAUUCUGUAGAUUUAGAUAGAACAAAAAUCAUUACCUGAGAACUUUGAAGCAUCAAAACUGGCUGUUGCUUUGGGAACUGCGUUGGAAGGAAAAAAUGCACCUACAGUAACCAAACCCAUAAAAGUUUGUCACUUGUGUAUUUAAUAAGAAAAUAAAAAACAGCAUAGGAAUGAUUUGGCACACGGACAAUAUUUGUAAUAACACCAAUCUUAAACAACAGUAACUAAAAGACAUUAGGUGGUAAGGCAAGUUCUGGAAGACCAAAGUGUUUCAAGUGAUCUCAAAGUAAUCAUAAUCCACAUAAGACUAGAAAAUAAAAUUCAGGUAACUCUUCACCCUGAUGGCCAACCCCUCCCCUCUAGGACCCAUUACUUUACUAGGCAUAAUUAUAAGUCUAUUUACUGUCCUGCAGAUAUAUUAUAAUGUCUUAAUCCAAUUGCAGAAGUAUGUUUCUCAGCUUAGAUCAAAUCCAGAAAGCAAGCAAAUCAGAGGCAAUUCCAAUAGAGAGAAUAUUUUAAAGUUCUAGAAAGAACUGGAGAAACAGGGACAGCGGAGAAAAUGAAGAAACAUUACAAAAAUAAUGAAGAAUUCAUUAUGACUUCAAAAAUGAUUAAAACAACACUCAAUACAAUACGCAAAAAAGAAAAGAUAAAAAAUAAUAGCAAUAAGCAAACAGAUUAAGGUGGCACAACUAGGUGCUAGAAGGCAUAUAUAAACAUCCAAAAGAGAACUCCUCUGGAAAUGGUACUAAGACAGCCUCAAAGAUGAUAUCAAACAUGCUCUGAGCUACCUUUUUUAAUAGCAUCCUUAAACUUGCAUGGUUCCACAGCUGUAGGAUGCAAUGCAGAUAUUAAUUUCACUGCUUCUAUCAGCCACAUUGAUGGAGAGUAUCUAUGCAUCAGAUAUAUAUAUAUAUAUCGUAUGAAUGUACAAGUACCAAAUUGAUAACAUCAAGUGCCAAACAAAUGACAAGACAAUUUCUAAGGUUGCCCAGCAGGCAUUGGAUUGACAUCAUGAAAAAUUCAGCUACCAAUGGAACAUGUUCAGAUAUAUGUUAAUAAUCUUUCAUACAUUGAAAUGUUAGUGUGAAGUUAAUAUCAUACCAGACAUGUAAACACCCCAGAUGCAGCAAGAAAUGUAACUUUUCUGCAAAACACCUGGCAAACAAAGCAAUGAGAACCUUUCAGAUACUCUUACAGAUUGAACUAUCCAAACAGAUACAUAAUGCCAAAUGUUUCUCCUUAUUGCUAAUUGUCAUGUCUGACACUUGUCCCAUGUCCACCACAUUGGACACUAAUUGAAAAAAUCACUUUAUUUAUCUACAAAAUGCAUGGAAUCAAGGGUACUAUAAUCAUUUAUUAGGAAUGCAUUAUAGGAUCUAAUCACCCAUUGUUGCUCAAUAUCUCAGAGGUAAAGCAAUUUUGACUAUAAACUGACUGGUCAUAAGUUCAACAGAGAAGACUUGAUUCAUUCUGAAUUAUCCAUUCAAAACAGAAGGGCUUUCUUUCAUCAUUCAAAGUAGGUAACCCGUUCCCUAUCUUCGUCUCUAUUGCAUUCUACUUCUAUUCUAUUCUGUGAUAUUUGAGGAUCACUGCCAAUACCUUGGUGUAGGCCAGGGAUGAUCCUUUUUUCCAUCAUUUGGGGCUAUUUACAAUAGCCAAUUGAGAAUUCUCAAAUAUAUUGCUUAUUUCCAUGAGAAAGAAUUGGCUUUCGUUGGAUAGCAUGCUGUUGGUAAUAUGAGUGGCUUGGAUCUUUUGGUGAAGGAAGGACUACUAUGCAAGAUUGGGAUCAUAUUUGGUGUGGGCAUUUAUCUCUUAAAGUUCCAGGAUUUCUUGGAAUUGCAGUGGACAAGGACACUUGUGUAAGUGAUCAUGUGACCUUGGAGGAGUUUGGGUCCAACACAUACAUUAUUGGAAAUUUAGGGCAGUUGUGUCCUUCAAUGACAAGCUUUAUACAAUGGGCAGUUGAAUUCAAAGUACAAAUGGCAUUCUUUUCAUAACAUCUUCUUGGCAAAUGGUGGGGAUCCCAUUGAUGCCACUGAAAGUGCCCUUUCUUACAUGGAUGAAGAUAAGAAACACGUGUUUGAUGGUAGACCACUUGAUUAACAGAAAUUCAAGAAUAAUGGAGAGAUGAAUUAUGUGAAGAGAAGCAGGUGAAUCAUUGCCCCAACUUUUCAUUCAUUGUAAAAUGGCUUCAUAGCAGUGAGCUAUUGUCUUCUUUCACUUUUUGGAAUGAAUUGGGUGUUGGUUCACUCUUAUCUUCAUUUGAUGAAGAAUAGUGGUUUCUACCAGGGAUAAGCAGAUUAAGAGAGUUUGAACAAUUGCCUCAUAUUUGGAGCUAUUGGGAAGAUUGAAACAAUAGAAUUUUACAGAUUUCUCAACUUGUUAGUAACCACCAUGUUUUAUGGAUUUCUUGGAUUCAGUUUUUUAAUUCCCUUUCCAUUUGUUCUUAUGCUUCACAUAUAAAUGGGCAUUUUUUGCCCUCUUUCUUCUUUUCUACCAAGGUUCUUAGUCAUCCAAGAAGAGCAUCAUAAGUAGACAAGGAUCCCAUACAAACACAAAGAUAUAGUUGUGGUCCCUUCGUCUAGACUUGAAGAGUUGCCACAGCCAACACCCCAUUUUUGUGUUGAAACAUGACAGUCGUGUCUGUGUCCCCAAAUCACUGCACAAAAUGUGUAGAAUUCAUACCGGAUCAGCUUCUAAUGGCCUUCCAAAUACGGGUGCCAAUGCCUCAAUAAAGUGUCUUCUAACAUCAAUUAAUGAAACUGCAUCCAAGAUCUGAAAAACAAGAACCAAGCUAAGUACAAAUAAUUGACAUGCAAAACAUUGGUUCAUAGCCAUCAUCAGAUGAAAGAACAAUUGGACACCAAAUACAAUAUAGAAUCCAGCUUACCUGUCUCUCAAGUGUUUCUUCUAAAUUGGGAAGAUAUUCAGCCAUGCACCUAAGGAGAAAAAGAAAAACAAUGAUGAUAGGUCAAAACAAAUUAGUGCAUCCCUUGUAAUAAGAAUGUGUGAAGGCAGAAUAACAUAUGAUUACUUACAUCCCAUCCAACCAUGGAGGAAGCUUGACAUCUUCAAUAGGAAAGAGAACCUUCAAUUCAGGAGAAGAUACUAAUUUUAAACGUGGAGCUGAAGGGGCAGACACAUAUUUUCUUCCAACAGGAAAUAUAACCUACACAUCUCACAGAAUCCACUUAAAUUAAUUCAAUAUGUAGACAAAACAAAAAGUGAAACAUACGAAAAGAAAAAGAAAAAAAAAAAGUGGGGAGAAGAAGAAGAAAAUGAAACCUGUAAGUAUAUCUUCUGCUGAUGUCUCCAGUUGCAACCAAAUACCAUUUUAUUUAUAUCCAUGUCCAAAAGAGGCACUGAAAAUUUUACUUCCUCUGGCUACACUAAAAUUGAAAGGCAUAGAAACCACAAGUGUAAUCAAAACUAUGUAGCAAAGUUGCAAUAAUUCAAUAAGCUUAUGGAAUCGCCUAAAAAAACAUGAUAUUCUUAUUAAGGAGUACCUUUUCAACACCCGAACUCAUGUACAUUUCGAUUCCCUGUAACAUGUUUAUGACAAUUAAGACAAUCAACACCCAACCCAAUAUCAUUGUAUCAUAUAAUACAUGUGUGCAUAUAAUUUUAGGCGCCUAGUUUGAGGCAUCUAAUAACACAACCAACUACUUGAUCUGGGUCCAUCUAGUAACACAAAAUGCAAAAAAAUAUAAAUAAUAAAUCUUUUGCUUUGUACCCAGCAGACUUUGGAAGAAUCAAAGCUCACACCAGACAGGAAAGUCCAGCCACCAGAACAAUGCACUACAUUCUAAUUCCAGGUUGAAGACGCCUUGGUUCCUGAAGAAACUCGGUGACCUCUAAAUUAUAUUAGGAAAGCUUUUUGUUUCAAGGACAAAGAGAGUCGAUGUUUUUAUGAAUUCAUGUUCUCAAUUUUCAUUAGUUUAUUCUCCAGAAUUUCAUUAGGAAAAAAUCAUAAUUGUCUAUCUUUCCCUCUUUUUCUUUCAUGCAGGUAUCAUGCAGUUAGAUCUGGUAGACCGUGAACUGCAAACCUUCUGUUCAAGCUUGACCCUGUGUUAAAAACAUGGGUUCUAACAAGAUUCAGCUUCCAAAACUAUCACAUAUCAUCAGAUGAUCUAUAUAUACUCCCAAACUCUCCGGUCUCCCUUCCGUCAUAUUUAUUUCUCAUAUAUAGAUUACAUAGUGCAAAAGAAUUUGUGUUCAGAGUUCCUUACUAUUCUAGCCACAGUAUGCCACCAUAUCCAUCUUAAUUGCCCCUACCAAUGUGGAAAAGACAGUGGACAGGUUGAAAUACAUGAUACACGAUCUGACCAGUAAUCUCAAGUGUACCUAAGAACCCCAGACCCACUAUCUGCAUCAGAAGCAAGAUCCUCGUGUUCUUUUGCCAUUACCCUUACUAGAUUGCAUUAUUAAAACUCCCAAGGUAAAACAUACAUUGCUCCAAAUCAUGUGAUUGCCAUUUAUUGUUGGUUUCUACACCUUUUUUUUUCUACAUUGUUUUCUCUUUGCUUUAUGCCUUGAAAAUGUGGCAUGACUAUCUGUAAAUUUUAAAUCAGAAAAAAAAAUUGUGUGCUCCCUAAUUUGUCCCUCUAACCAAACUCCCAUGCAUAGAUACGCUGCACUGGCCACAAGACAUUACUUCACAAUUUAUUGUAGUACUAAUUUUGGUACACAUUUGUAGGCAUAUGAACAGAGACUUACAGACCAUAAUAUAUUUGACCAUAGUCUUAAAAUCCAUAUUUCCAAGAAAAUGCAUAAAACAUAGAAAUGAUUCAAAUUCUUACCUCCCUUGAUACAAUUGUGCUAAUUUCAAAUUUCAGUCUAUCAUCAUCAACUUCUCCAAUGCGCUUCUUCUGGUAGGACAAGUAUAGAUCCCUAUAAAACAAAAUGAUCAAAUUUCAGAAACUCAUAUAAAAUGCUGAUUAUAAUUACUAAAAUUAGUCUCAAGAAAGAAUACUAAAGGAAAACCCUAACCUCAGUUCAUGAAUAAGAGUCAGUAACCCUGAAGGGUCCUUGCUAUUCCAAUCAGACAAACUGUUCUUUGACAACUUAAAAUCCCCUUCAUCACCAGUCACACAAAAUGGAUGAAAAUUUUCAUCUUCAGGUCCAAAUAUGACAUCUGGAGCAGCCAAUGGACACUGCGCAUUAUAUAUGACAUCCCCUGAAACAAAUCAUAGUAUUAAACCGGCGGGAAUAAAGGGAAAAAAUGAAUAGAAGAAGCAAAAAUAAUCAGGAGAAAAAAAGGGAGAAAAAUGUGACGGACAUUUGAUGAAAUCUAAACAGAAGGGAAUGAGCAAAGAGAAGCGAUCCAGCAAACCAGAGUACUUGCAACCAGCCCACAUCUGAUCAAUCUGAAAAAGAUAGAGAACACUUAAGCCUGUUAUCUUUUAUUCUUAGAUAUUCUGAACUAGAUAACAAAAGCCUAACAUUCACUAGACAUAAACUCAGUUAUUCAAUUAAUUAACUAGCAUAUAAGUUCCAUUUGGUUGACGAGAAAACUCAAGAGAGGAAAUGAAAACUGGGAAUCCCGCAAGAGGUUUGAGUUGGAGCUGAAGUUCUAGAACUCUAAUUUUCUUGUCCUAUGCUCCAAUUCUCAGCAACCAAACCCUAAUUUAUACCGUAGCUGAAACUACAUAUAUAUCCUACGUUUGGUUGCCUAGAAAACCCUAGGAAAAAAAAUGUGAACUCCGAAACAAUAUUCUUUUAUUUUUCCUGAAAUUUUCAGCAAUCGAAAGGUGAAUCGGGAUUUUGAGUGUUACCUUAAUGGAAAGAGGAGAAUGAGAAAGCAAAUAAUUGAUCUGCGCAGCUAUGACCGGAGGAAAAGCAUCGGUAGUCAUGAUCUCCGUUGAUAGUGCUGCGACAAUUCACAACGGACCGCUGACCGGAGUUCUGGGUUGAUCGCCGGCGAUCUAUGCAGGUAAAGCAAAAUGGAUGUCCUCCGUGCCUUGAUAUGGUGUGGUCAAAAUGAAGUCCUUUAACGACGCCGUUUCAAUGUUGGUUUCCUUGAAAAGCUUCAAAAUUAGGGGUGUAAGUGAACACCAAAACCGUUAAAACCCAUACAACAUCAUCAAAAUCGAUGGUUUCAAAAUGCGAUUUCAAUUUAAGAUAAAUAGUAAUAAAUUACAUUAUUUAUGUGGUAUUUAAAGAGUUAAGAUGAUAAUAAAUUUGGGAAUAUCUUUAUAUAAGAUAUAUUUUAUUUGCCAAAGAGGUUGUUUGGACUAUGAGUAGCAAUUUGCCUUAGUGGAUCAUAUUGGUGUAGUAUCAAAGGUGAGACACUUAAAGCAAAUAGUUCAAUUCAAACAUAACACGAAUAAUAAUAAUCGGUUUAAAAACUUAAAUCUAAAAUAAAACUUAAUUACUAAAUAGAUAACGUAUAAUCUAUUUAACCUAUAAUGACAAGGUGUUAUUUAAUAAUUAAAUCAAGUUGGAUUUUGUAUGAAGUUAUAUGAUUAACUUCUCAAGCUGAUAUGUGUGUGACUUAAUUUGACUUAAUUAAUUAAAAUCAAAACUUAACUGAAUAAAAUAUAGAUUAAAUAUGUUAAAGUAAUAAUUAUGUUAAACAGCAUGGUUAUUAAAUAAGUCAAAUAAGUGUUAUAUAAGUUGACCAAAAAACUAACUAAUUUAUUAAAUAGGUUAUGUCUGAUACAAAUUUGACUCAAAGAGGAUUAUAUUUAACCAAAAUCUAGACAAAAAAAAAAAAAGAAAAAACAUGUUAGGGUCAAAUCAGGUCAAGUUAUUUUUAAAAAUAGAAAAUAAAAAAACUUGUUUGAAUGAGUUAUUUUUAAAAAUUAUUUUUAUGUUUUGAUUUUGCAUAAAUUUAAUUCAAGUACAACUAAAAAUGAAAGUAGUUAAAAGAAAAUAGUUUUGUAAUUAAAAAUAAAAAUUUGUAGUAAAAUAUAAAUAAUAUUAUUAUAUGUCAUAAACAUAAGGAUGUUCUUUGAGUUUUUUUUGGUUAAAAAUGAAUAAUAAUAAUAAUAAUCUAAAAUAAUAAUUAUUUAUAAUAUUUUAUUUAAAAUGAAUAGAAAAUAAAAUUUAACUUUUUAAUUUGUAAUUGAGUCAAGUUUUCCAUUACAUUUACACGUUUAAUAUUCAAUUAUGAAAAUAAUAUUUUAAAAUGUUUUGAAUAUUUUGAUUUAAUUUACAAUUAAUUGGAUUGAAUUUUUAAAUUCUAAAUUAUUCCUAAAAAUUAAAAGCUUCAUUCAAGAAUUUAGAUUAUUAAUUAUGUUUUACUUAAUUUAUAAUUUAUUUAUUUAAUUAUAAAAUUCAAAAAAUAUAGUUGUGUAUAUAGGAGAGAUAGUAAAGUUAUUACUCGUAAUUCAGUUUUGAUCUUUUCUUUAGUUAUUAAAUCCAUUUUUUGAGUUUCAAAUUAUAUGAAGUUCAUUUUUAUAGUGAGAAAUUUUAAUUUGUUUAUAUGAACCAAUUUUGAUCUAUAAAUUUAGAGUAUAUAUAGGUUUAUUAUUUAAAUUUCAAAUUAUUUUUAAAAAUUAAUACAUUCGUUAAUGAAUUCAAUGCAUUAAGUCUUGUUUUAUUUUGAUUUUAUUUGUAUAAUGAAAAAAAAAUAGAAAAUAAUAAUUCUAUAUAAAAGAUAAAUAAUAAAGUUGUUUUAAACCAUUUUUUUUUUCAUAAAUUUCUAAUAUUAAUUGGAUCACUAUUUAAAUUUUUAGUUAUUUUAAAAAUUAUUAGACUUGUUGAUAAAUUUAAUGUACUAAGUCUUAUUUAAUUUGUAAUUGAUCUGUGCAAUGAAAAAAUGUGGAAAAUAAUUAUUCUAUGUUGAAGAGAAGUAACAAAGUCAUUUUAAACUAAGCUUUUGUUUAUAAAUUUCAUAUAUUAAUUGGAUCACUAUUUGAGUUUUAAAUUAUUUUUAAGAAUUACUAAACUUGUUUAAAAAAUCUAAUGUAGUAAGUCUUAUUUAAUUUGAAGUUUAAGUGCCUAAUGAAAAAAUUUGUAAAAAUAUGAUGUAUAUGUAAGGAAUAAACUAACCAAGUCAUUUAGAAUAAAUUUUGGCUUAUGUCUUUCUAAUAUUAUUGAGUUUCAUGAUUUCUUUUAGCAUUAAUCAAAUUGAAUUUUGAGUUUCAAAUUAUUUUUUAAAAUUAAUAAAUUUUAUGUAUCAAAUAUAGUUUUAUUUGAAAUUUAUUUUUUUAAUAAAAGAUUUUAGAAAAGUUAAAAGAAAUUUUUUUAUAAAAAAAAUAUGUGUAAUUUAAAGAAAUAUCAUAUAAGGAUUUUCAGUAUUGGUGUAUUGGUAUUAGAACGUUGAGAGAUAAAAAAAUAAUGACAUCAUGUUCAAUUUUAUUUGUUUUUUAUAGUUUUUUUUUUAAAAAAAAUUAUAUUUUCCUUUUGUUUUUGAAAAAAUGAGUGAAGAUGACUUUUACUUAUUUUCUAACAAAUAUUAUCUAUUUCACUUUGUUUUUAAAACCUAAUAACAUAUAUCAACAACUUAUGAAUUUUUAAAAAUGUUAUAAAUGAAGUAAUAAAUGUCACCACAUUUAUUAUAUUAAAUGUUAAUUAGUAUUAUUUAUGAAUGUUAAUUAUUAUUAUUUAUGAAUGUUAAUUAAUAUUAUUUAUGAUUUCCAUUAAUAUUCAUUAAUAGAAAUCAUUUGGAAAGUCUAUAAAAAGACUUCCCAUCCCUGUAAUAUGUAUCCCAAGUAAAGAAAAAUUCUCUCUCUUAUUCUUUCUUUCUCUUAUUUUCAUAUUUUUCGUUUUUUCAACUCUCUUAAUUUUCUUCUCUGAUUUCUUUCUUCCCAUUAUAUAUUAUUAUCAAAAUAAUAUAUAGUUGUCUCUACUUUUAUUUUCGUUGCAUUUAUAUUCUUUUUACAACAUAUUAUCAGCAUGAAUUGCUAUGAAGGUAAUUCUCGUCUCUUAAACUUGAAGUUGCUUAUAUAAAAUAAAAUUUUAUAUAUUUAUAUUGAUAUUGCUAAAUUCAUUUAAUUUGCGUUAUAUAUUGUUAAAAGUUAUAAGCAAAUUAUUUGAUUUCAAUUAUAAUCAAAAGUUAUACCAAUGUUAUUAAUUUAUUAUAAUUGAUUCUAAUAAUAUUGUUUUAUCAUAUAUCUAAAGUUGUUUGACAAUGUUGAAUCUCAUAAAACUCGAAUUUCUCGAAUUUGUAGCACUUGACAUUUCAGGAAAGAACUAUCUAUUUUGGAUCUUUUAUGCUAAAAUACAUCUUAAUGUUAAAAUACAUCUUAAUACAAUGAAUCUUGGAGCUACGAUCAAAUAAGGAAAUCAAACAUCCUUGUAAGAUCAUGUAAAAACGUUGAUUUUCUUUCGUCAUCAUCUCCAAAAGGUUUAAAAAACGAGUAUCUUACGGUAAAGGACCCUUUUACUCUAUAGAUUAAUUUGAAGGAAAUAUAUGACCACUAGAAAAUUGUGAUUCUCCCAAAAACUCAAUAUGAUUGGGUGCACUUGAGGUUGCAGGAUUUUAAAACUAUUAGUGAAUAUAACUCUACACUUUUCAAAAUCAUCUCUCAAUUAAAGUUGUGUGGAGAAAAAAUCACAGAAGAAGACAUGCUAUAAAAAAAAAAUUACUAUGUUUCAUGCCUCGAAUGUGCUUCUACAACAGCAAUAUCGAGAGCAUAAAUUUAGAAAAUACUAUGAAGUAAUAAUCAUGUAUUUUUGUUGUUGAACAAAAUAAUGAGUUUUUGAUGAGAAAUCACAAGUUUCAUCUAACUGGAUUUGAACCAUUCCCUAAAAUGAAUCUAAUAUUGUCUCAAACUCGUGGAUGUGGACAAUGAUGAGGGCAUGGUUGUGGUCGUGGAAGGAAUCCUCGAUACCAUGGUUAUUAUGGUAAUAAUUUCUCAAAUUAUUAGAAAAUGAAAACCUCAUUGCACCACCAGAAGUGGAAUAAUAUUGAGGCAAAACAAGAAAAUGGGAAGUAUUUACAAGAUAAACCUCAUAAAAACCAUGAGAAUAAUUAUUAUAGAUGUGGUAUGAAGGGGCAGUGGUCGUGUACCUGUCGUACACUCAAACAUUUGGUCGACCUUUACCAAGCAUCGAUAAAAGCAAAAGGAAAAGAGAUAGAAAUGAACUUUAUCGAUGGUUUUGUAUUGGACCUAACCUAUUAUGACAUUGAUUUCUUUGGAGGUCCUAGUGAAAAAACAAACCAUUUAAUAAAAUGAUGAGAGUGCUAAUAUUGAUUAAUGUUACUUUUAUAUAUCAAAUAAUAUAUGAUUAUUAUGUCUUAUAUUUAUUUCUGAUUAUUGCAUUUUCUUUUAUAUUGUUAUUUACAUUCUAUAAUUUUUUUAAUAUUAGUUGUAUCUAAAAAUCCACGUGUUAUUUGGUCUCAAAAUGAAUGAGGAUGAUGUAUGUCUUGCAAACUAUGCAACCACGCACACAAUUCUUUGAGAUAAAAAAUAUUUCAUUGAAUUGACAUUGAUAAAAACUAAUGUAAGUCAUAUCCGGUACUACAAACUUAGUUGAAGGCUCUAAAAAAGAAAACAUAACACUACCAAAUGAAACUAGAUUUCAUAUAAAUGAUGCUUUAUAUGCUAACAAAUCCAUAAGAAAUUUACUCAAUUUUAAAUAUAUCUAUAGAAAUGUAUAUCAUAUUGAAACUAUGAAUGAAGAUAAUGUAAAAUAUCUUUACAUUACUUCAAUUAUAUCUAGCCAGAAGCUUAUAAUGGAAAAAUUCUCAGCUUUCUCCUUUGGGUUGUAUCAUACAACUAUAAAGCCUAUUGAAUCAUAUGUUGUCGUGAACCAAAAGUUGAACGACCUAAAAGUUUUUGUCCUUUGGCAUGACAGGCUAGGUCACCUAGGGUCUUCAAUGAUGCAUCGAAUAAUCAAACACUCACAUAGGCAUCAACUAAAGAACCAAAAGAUUCUUUUGCCCAAUCAAUACUCAUGUGUUGCCUGCUCACAAGGUAAAUUGAUAGUCAGACCAUCUUUUAUUAAAGUUAUACCUAAGUCACCAGUUUUUAGAAAGAAUACAUGGGGACAUAUGUAGGUUUAUCCAUCCACCAUGUGGAUCAUUUCAUUAUUUUAUUAUCUUAAUAGAUGCUUCUACUAGGUGGUCACAUGUUUGUCUCAUUUCUACACGUAACGUUGCCUUUGCUAGAUUCCUUACACAAAUGAUCAUAUUAUAAGCACAAUUUCCAUAUUAUUCAAUUAAGAUAAUACACCUUGAUAAUGCUAGCAAAUUUACUUCUCAAAUAUUCAUUGACUACUACUGUAUGUCAAUAGGAAUAAAUAUUGAGCAUCUUAUUGCUCAUACCCAUACCCAAAAUGGUUUAACAGAAUCCUUUAUCAAACGUCUUCAAUUAAUAGCUUGAUCAUUACUAAUAAAAACCAAGUUACCCACAUCUGUUUGGGGACAUGCUAUUAUGCAUGUUGCAACUUUAGUCUGUAUUCGACCUACAACUUACCAUGAAUACUCUCAUUCACAACUUGUGCUUGGAAAACAACCAAAUAUCUCUCACUUAUGAAUCUUUAGUUGUGGUACCAAUUACACCUACACAACACACUAAAAUGGGUCUCCAACGACAACUUGGGAUUUAUGUAGGUUUUGAUUAUCCAUCCAUCAUAAGAUAUCUUGAACCUUUGACAUACGAUGUUUUUACAACUCAUUUUGAGGAUUAUCAUUUUAAUGAGUGUUUUCCCGUUAUUAGGGGGAGAAAAACCGAUUCCCAAAUAAUGUCGAGAAAUUAUUUGAAAUGCAUAUACCAUGUCUCAUCUUGAUAUUUGUACAAUUCUUUAGGACCUCAGACGUUACCAACUCUCCUAAAAGCAAUUGCUGUUAGGAAAUGCGCAUACCCUAACCUUAUAGUGCAUGCACCCAAGUGCCCACAGCGAACACAAGGGGAGUUGAUGGACACGGCCAACCCUCUGAUCUGCCAACAAUCUCCUUCCCAGCGACACCCCUAGGGUUCGAACCCGUGACCUUGGCUCUGAUAUCACUUGUAGGACCUCAGGAGCUACCAACUCUCCUAAAUGCAAUUGCUGUUAGGAAAUGCACAUACUCUAACCUUAUAGUGCAUUCACCCAAGCACCCACGACGAACACAAUGGAAGUUAAUGGAUGUGGUCAACCCUCCGAUCUGCCAACAAAUUCAAUGUAAACUAGAAGUUCAAAGGAUCAUUCAUUUGCAAAAAUCUUGCAAAUCAAUUACCAGAUGCAUUCAUUGAUAUAAAUAAAGUAACAAAGUCACAUAUCCUAACUGCAAAUACUCCAACACGGAUUGAUGUCCAUGUAGGACAGUUAAUAAAUAAAUCAAAGAUACGUCUGAAGCGUGGUAGACCUGUCAGCUCAAAUGAUAUAACUCCCUGAAAGAGGAGAACGUAAGAAAAACUUAACACUUUAAAAGAGACCAUCAAAAUGACUAUUCGGUCUAAAAUUGAUAAAUAUUUUUCCUCAAAAAAGACACAAAUAAUACAAAAAGCCCCUGAAGAGACACAUAUUGAAUAAGAAGGCCUUGAAGAGGCACAAGUACCUGAAAAUUGUGAGAUCUCAAUAAGUUAUGUACAUACAAGAGAAAAAUAGGAUCAAAAUAAUAUUGUUAUUAACAAUAUUUUCGUUUUCCAAGUGGCCUUUGAUAUCAUAAGAAAUAAUGAAAAUCCCAAACCACGAAAUAUAGAAUGACGUCAUAGAAAUCAUUGGCCCAAAUGGAAAAAAGCUAUGUAGGCAAAGUUAAACUUAUUAACAAAAUGAGAAGUUUUUUUACCUGUAGUCCAAACGCCUAAAGAUGUAAAGUCUGUUGGGUGCAAAUGGGUAUUUGUACAAAAACACAAAGAAAAUAACGAGAUCAUAAGAUAUAAAAUGCGAUUAGUAGUAUAAGGUUUCUUGAGAAACCUGGUAUUGACUACGAGGAAACAUACUAUCCCAUCAUGAACGCAAUCACAUUUUGUUUCUUAAUUAGUUUGGUAAUCUCAGAGUGACUAAAUAUGUGUCUCAUGGAUAUUAUUACAAUAUAUUUAGUCGGAUCCAUGGAUAAUGAUAUAUACAUGAAAACCCCUGAAUGAUUUAAAUUGUCUAAAGCAAAUAGUACAAAACCUCAUAACAUGUAUUCAAUCAAAUUACAACGAUCCUUGUAUGGAUUAAAGUAAUCUAGACGCAUGUGGUACAAUCACCUUAGUGAAUACUUACAAAAAGAAGGGUAUGUGAAUAACCCUAUAUGCCCAUGCAUCUUCAUUAAGAAAUCAGAAAUCGAAUUUGUAAUUAUUGCAAUGUAUGUUGAUGAUUUAAAUCUUGUUGGAACUCCUAAAGAGCUCACAAGAACAACAAAUUACUUAAAAAAUGAAUUUGAGAUGAAGGAUCUUGGAAAAGCAAAAUUUUAUCUCGCCCUACAAAUCGAGCAUUUUCCAAAUGGAGUUUUAAUAUAUCAAUCAACAUACAUUAAGGAAGUUUUGUAACAAUUGCACUAUCUUCGAAGACAUUGGAAUGGUAUCAAGCAUAUAUUGCGCUAUCUUCACAGAACUAUUGAUAUGAGUUUAUUUUACUUAAGGAAAUCAAAGUAACAAUUGCUUAGAUAUGUAGAUGCAGGAUACCUUUCAGAUCCACAUAAAGGUAGAUCAUAAAUAGAGUAUGUGUUUAAUUGCAAUGGUAUUGUUAUUUCAUGGAAAUAUAUCAAACAAACAAUGGUGGUCACAUCAUCAAAUCAUUCAGAAAUACUUGCAAUUCAUGAAGCAAGUCACGAAUAUAUAUGGUUAAGAUCUAUGAUCCAACAUAUUCGGGAAUCAUGUAGACUCUCCUCUAUCAAAGGUAACCCGAUAAUAUUACUUGAAGAUAAUAUUGCAUGCAUUGCAUAGAUAACAGAGGGUUAUAUUAAAAGAGAUAGAAUUAAACGCAUUUCACCAAAAUUCUUUUAUACAUAUGAACUCCAGAACAGUGGUGAAAUUGAUGUUCAACAAAUACGUUCAAGUGAUAAUCUAGCAGAUUUAUUCACAAAGUCAUUGUCAACCUCAACAUUUAAGAAGUUAAUACACAAGAUUGGAAUGCGUCAACUCAAGAAUAUCGACAUGAGAGAAAAUAUGCUUGUAAAAAGGUGUUAGUAUACUAUACUUUUUUUUUCUUCAUCCAUAUUUUGUCUCAUUGGGUUUUACUGGUAAGGUUUUUAAUGAAAUAGUCCUAACAUACCAAUAGCAACUUAAAGAAUUAUAAGAAUAUUGUACUCUUUUUCCUUCACUAGGUUUUUCCCAUUAGGUUUUUUACUAGCAAGGUUUUAAUGAGACAUAUUCUUCUAAUGUGGUGGACAUCCAAAGGGGAGUGUUAUAAAUGAAGUAAUGAAUGUCACCACAUUUAUUAUAUCGAAUGUUAAUUAAUAUUAUUUAUGAAUGUUAAUUAAUAUUAUUUAUGAUUUCCAUUAAUAUUCAUUAAUGGAUGUAUUAAUGGAAGCUAUUUGGAAAGCCUAUAAAAAGGUUUCCCAUCCCUAUAAUAUGUAUCCCAAACAAAGAAAAAUUAUCUCUCUCUCUUAUUCUUUCUUUCUCUUAUUUUCCAUAUCUUUCAUUCUUUCAACUCUCUUAAUUUUCUUCUUUGAUUUCUCUCCCUAUUAUAUAUUAUUAUCAAAAUAAUAUAUAGUCAUCUCUAGUUUUAUUUGCAUUGCAUUUAUCUUCGUUUUACAACAAAAAAUAGUUUUUUGUUUUUAAAAACAGAAAACUUGUAGACCUUAAAAAUUGUCUCAAACUCAUUUCUAACUUUUGUUUUAAAUCCACUUCCUUUUCCACAUUUUAUAGGCCUGGUUUUGGAGGAUUUUGUAGGCCUAAACCCUAGGUUAGAGGUCUCCUUAAUUUGGGUUUAGUUUCAAAGUGAGUUUGAGCCUUGGGUGGAAAUGAAGACAAGUGUCAAAAUCCUUACCUCCCUUAACCUAUAAACAAAGGCAUUGAACUUUGUUUUUAAAGAGACUUUCUUGCAUUUUUUAAAGGAAACUCUAUCAAAAUUGAGAGAGUAAAGGAAAAGAAGAGAAGACUCAAAGCUUGAGAAGCAAGUUUAGCUUUGGAAAUAGGGUUCCAACUUACUAGAAGCCAAGUGUUUUUCACAAGGAGAUUUUUGGGUGAGAUCAUCUUUAUUUCAUUUUUAUUUUUUUGGUUUAUUGUUAAUUUAUGAUCAUUUUCUUUUAUUUCUUGAAAUAAUAUGUAAUUUGGUGUGGAUAUUGAAAAGUCAUACACUUGCUUAUUGGAUUUUCUCUUCAUCUAUGGCUUUUAAUAUUUUUUUUCUUUAUUUUGUUCGUUUUGGAUACUUAAUGAGAUGUUUGUUCUCUUGUUUAAUUUGUUGAUAAGUUGAUUUCAAGUCUUGCCUAAUUUUGGUUACAUUCAGUUUUUAGCUUGUUUUCUCAUUUGAAAGCUUAUUGACUAAAUCAUGACAUAUGGCUUAUUUGGAUUUGAAAUCCUUUAUUUAUUUUUUUUUCAUUUAUCUUUUGAGGAUUUCGUUUUCCAUUUUAUUUAAAUGGUUUUUGAAAGUUUUGUGACUAAUUUUAAAAUAAAAUUUAAAAGCCACAAAGUGUUUGUUUAUUUGCCAAAGAGAAUUUCUAAAACCUAUUUCUGCCAUUUUUGGUUUUCUUUGCAAAUCUAGAUGUAAAACUCAUUUUCAAACUCUUUUUGAUUGAAUUUCAAACACCUUUCAAUGGCUAAUUUCAUGGUCAAAGAUCAAACCCCUUACCAUAGGUUUUGGUAAGCAUCAUGCUUGAGAAAAUUGAUAAGUGCUUUCUUUAUCUUUUUGUGAUUUUUGAAAGGUUUUCUAAACUAAUUUUUGGAGAACAAUUUUCAAUCUUUAUGAAUCCAUUUUCAUAAUCAUUAGGGGCUUGAGAUUAUGAUAAUUUCAUGGUUAUUAAUGGUUGUCACUAGCUUGAGCAAACAUGACUUAGAUUUACAUAGAAGCUCUCCUCUCUAUGAACGUCUUCAUGUAAAUUUUAGUCAUGUUUGCAUAUGUGAGUAUUAGUUUGGCCUUCCAUGCCUCACAUGAGCCUAAUCUCAUGUUUAUUUGAGGGUUGAGAAUAGGUGUUAGCCUUGUAGUUAACCUAUGACUCACUUCAUUAGUUUACAUUAUUCAUUUCUCUAACUUGUGAUUUUUAUAAUUUUUUUUUUAUUAUUUUAAAACCUCAUGAACUUUUUCUCAUAUUCAUUAAAGGGUUGAAAUGUGAACUUAUCCAUGGAAAUAAAUUUAGGUUUGUUUCAGAGCCCACAACUCUUACUUAUUGAGAUUUAAUUCUUUACUGCCCUAUUUUUUUACUUCCAAGAUGUUUUUGCAAAUAUGGACUUUUUGGUUUUUUCUAAAAUAUUUUUUAGGCUUAGGAUGUGUUUUGGACUUCUUAAUGUGUCAAAUAAUUUUUGUUUUAUUAAAAAACUCUUCUCCAAGUUUGUUGAAUAAAUUAGUUUUUCCAAGUGUUGUGUUGUUCCUAUAUUUUACCCUAAAAAUGUUUUUGUAAAUUAGUCUUAGUUAUCAAGGUUUUCAUUAAUUUUGAGUUUUUUUUUUGUCUUUUAAACUUCUUAAAUAAGUUUUAGGAGCCUUAACUUCAUUGAAAAAUCUUUUAUUAAACUUGUGAAUUAAUUUAGUUUUUACAUGAUUAUUGUACUAUCUGAUUUAGAGCUAUGAGAUGUUAUUUUAAUUUUGAUUAUUUGGUGCAUGUUUGGGCCUUUCAAACUUUUAAAAUGUAAUCUAGACAUCUCAUAUAUGUUGUAAAUUUUUGUUUUGAUUUUUAUCUCAUUUAUAACCAUUUUAAAUAGAUUUAUUUUGUAAGUAUCGUAAAUACAUGUUUGUUGUCAUGUUGUGACCCUUUUAUAUAUUUGUACAGUAUAGUUCCCCCUUGAUGCUUAUUUCCCUGUAUUUGGUCCUUGGCUUGGGUCAUAUAUGUCUUAUACAUAUUAGUUGAUGUUUACCUUGUUUUCAAAUUAUUUAUUAUACUUGUAGACAAACUUUUUCUUUCUUAUGUAAGGUGGUGUUUGUUUUUUUGGCUUUUUGCUGAAAACCAUUUAGUUUUAGAAUUUAGGUUGUUUGUUUUUUUACUUUUUCAUGACUUAUUAUAAACUUUUUACUAAAUAGAAAAAACCAAAAUAUGUGGCUUUUUCUAAAUAGAAAAAAUAACACAAUGGUUUUUUUUACUUUUUAAUACUUAAUAGAAAUAAAAUACUAUAAAAACAAACAUCUUAAUAUUUAAUACUAUUAAGUAUUAAGGUUCUAUUUAGAAUUAAGUAAAAAAACAAACACCACCUAAGUGUGUUGCUUUUAUUUGGCAUUUUUUAGGUAUACUCUCUUAUUUACUUGAUUUGUUUGAUUCUUUUGAUAUACAUAAAAUUCUCACCUUAGUCUAAUUGAUUAUUUUGUAUUGUUAUCUAUGGGUAUUUAUAGUCUAUUAGUCAAUUCUCUCCUACUCGACCUCUUUAACGCUUAGAGAAUGUUAUCUUAUAUUUCUAAUAUGUAACUUGACUAUUGAAUUUAAACUCAGUUUUCAUGAAUAUAUUUUAAAAAAAAAGAAAUAAAUUAAAACAAGUGGUGACUUUAAUUUUUAAAAAAUUAAUUUUUUUCAUUAAUAAAAAAUGAAUCUUUAUUAUCGAAUGAAAAUACAAAUAAAAAAAUACAGAUCCACAAAAUUAUUUUUUACUCACGGCCAAGCAAAUUCUUAAUUUUUUAAUAUAAGCUUUAAAAAGUUGUUGUAUCUUACACAAAAUUUGCUAUUAUUCUUUAAUUUUAAAAAUAGAAAAAAAAUAUUGAAAGACACUAAAUUAAUAUAUAUAUUUUUUAAUUAGAUACGUCUAUGAGGCGGGCAGGCGAAGUCCCAACCCGACCGGCUAAAAAAAAUUAAAAUCGAAAUCUCAAAUCCGUCCAUGGCUCCUUUUUCUAUACACUCUGAUAACGAAUUUACGAGUGGGGGCAUUUUGGGCAUAGCGUAACAAUAGGGACAGAAUCGUCAAUACGAAAAGCUGAAAACCCUAAAGAAGGGAGCCCAUCUUCUUUAAAUUUGAACAACCGUAAGAGCCUUUAGCAAUCGAAGCGAACCAAGUCUGAGUAUCUUUUGCUGGUUCAGGGACCAGACACUCAGAUCUCUCUUCCUCUUUCCCUCUCUCUCUCUUAUCUCUGUUUUAACCUGAUGUUUCUUUUUCUCUUGGAGAUAGCGAAACCAGGUGAUGAGUUUGGAUUAAAUUUUCUCACGACGGUCGUCUGAGACACAAUGUGUCGCCUUUGAUGCAUCGAUCCAAUACUUCUCUGAUGGUUUCUUGUUUACUUGUUUGUUCAUUUACCCUUUUUGUUGUCAUUGAACACAUGAUGUUGGAGCGAGCAUGGUGAUGAUGAACUUAAGAUCUUCCGAUUGAUUCGUCAUGACAGGAAAAUAAUACCUCCUACUCAUUCUGAAUGCUCCUCCUCCAUGUCUCCUGUGUUCAAUCUUGAUUGGAUUUUGGCUUUCUUGAAUCUUGAUUAGGUAGGGUUUUGUUGAUACAAAUAUGCUUUUUCUUGUUAUUUUAAUCAGUUUUGAGAGAUUAGGUUUUAUAUUUGGAACGGGCACUAUGAGGAUAAGUAUCCUUAAUCCAGAAUUACAGGUUGAAAUCCUGUAUGAUUUUUUAUUUCUUUUAAAACUAGUCCUUUUCAUUCUGAGUGCCACAGUUACGAACUCUUAGCCUUUUUUUUUUUUUUUGAAAAUACUGUUUUGAUUCGUUUUGAGGGUUAGUCGAUCUUCUCUGGUUUCUUUUAAUGUUUCAGGAUAUUUGUUUUUUUAACAAUUUUUCCAAUCUUCAUUUUAACGAUUAUGUAUUCUCUGAUUCCUGAAAUUGUGCAAAGACACCUGUGACAAUUGAUUUUUGUUGUUUCGGGUUGAAUUAGAAUCCGCAAAUUUUUAUGAAACAAAUCAUCUUCGUUUCUGAAGAAUUGAUCUUCUAAAUCUAAGAUGGAAAAAAAUAUAUAUAAAAGAGAAAUUAUCAAGAGAUGGAGCUUGAUUUAAGGUGUCCAAUUCUAAGAAAUCACUUGUUACUACAUAUACACCCUGGGGCAAUCAAUUUUCUUGAGAAUUCUCAAUGACCUAAUAUUUAAUAUAUACCACAUAGUCUCAGUCGAGCGCCCAAGCCUGCAACAUUCGAUUAAAUGGCAGUUAGCAAUGAAGGCAAUAUCACAAUUGACAAUUCUCUAAAUAUUUUUUUAGGGAUGUCUUUGUGUACAAACCUGGAUCUUGCCAUCAAGGAAACCAGCAAAAAGCAUUUCUCCAUCUGUAUCUGAUGCCAAGGAUGCAAUCUUCGCAUGUCCAUGACCACCGAUUUUAAUGGAAGCUACUCUUGUCACUGUUUCCUUAAACCACACCUCAAUGAUCCCAGAUUUACUGGCAGUGAAUAUAAAGUCACUAUUCACAGCUAAGCGCUGGAUGUCCAAUCCAGUCAAGAAAGACCCAGUUAAGGCCUUGGUCGAGAGGGAGAACACCUUCAAAAUCCAAAUUUGUUUCAUUAGAACAUGAAAUUGAUCAUCUUAGUCACUGAAUUUGUCCAAAUGUCAACAUUUCCAGAGAAGCAUAGUACCUUCCCUGCAGUUCCAUCCACUGAGGAACCGCCAGCAUAGAGUAAACCAUCAUGAAUCCGCAAGGAAUAUAUUGUUUGUUUACCAAGCAAUUUUCUUGCACCAGAGUAAAAUGUAUUUGUAGUGGAUUUACACAAAUCAACCUCCUGCCAUUUUCCCCAAAUUUUCAAUAUUAUGGUAUAUGUGUUAGACUAGAUUCCGUCUGAGUUAUAUUUGUUUGAUGAAAACGAGAGCCAAAGUCAAAUCAACCAGAUGUGUUUACCUGGAUGCUGUAACCAGUGCAACCGCAAUACAGUCUAUCCUCUGCCAUGUCAAGGCUCUUGACAUUUUUGUUAAAGUUUAUAUGUUUUGGAACCCCAGACCAACUGUAGACCUGCAAUAAAAGGAUCUUGUUAGGUACCAUCUAUGUUUUUUUUAUCAAUUGCCCAGAUGGGAGAUAAGUUACAUUGACUCCAGUUCCUUGAGAAGAGAAGCAUGCAAAACUGGCAUUAGCUGUCAACUGGUAUACCGCCUCCUUCACAUCAUGAACCUGAACACAGUGAAUUUCUUCUGGUUUGACCGUCCAGACCUGUGCAUCAACAACUAAGCAACUGCUUAUGAUGCUUCAAAAAAUGGUUCAAAAUACUUGAAAUUAUGGAUACAAGGCAGCUUGGAGAGUCCACAAUGAUGUAGUUUAGUAGUAAGUGAAAAGGCAGCAAAAAGAAUGAUUCAUCCUAGCUGUUGGGUUAAUCGCUACAUUAUUCAAUGAGGAUCACUCUAAGCUAGCGUCACCUUGUUAUCGAAUCGACUAAUGGGAAGCCAGUAAUACUUUAUAUGAAAGUCAACACAUACCCAGCUUAAAGGUUACUUAGAGUGCAUUUGGUUUUUAAAAAAAAAAACAAAUUAUGUUUGGCAAAAUUUAAAAAACACUUUUAAGAAGUUGAAAUAUUAAUUAUAAUACUUCAUUGAAAAGCAUUUGAUUGGUGAUUUUCUUAAAACAUGUUCAGAGAAAACAUUUUUAGUAAAAGCACUUAAAAUGAAAACCCCACCAAACAUAUUCUUAAUAUUUGAUCAUAUGCAAAAGGAUUUAAGGGUAUCUCUCCAAACAUUGGCAAGUCAAUCUUGUGUGACUUUCCCAAUUGAGAUUGGCAAGCUAUAUUGCAAUUUUGAGAAAACUUACCCGAAUUGUUUUGUCUAAGGAACCACUAUAUAACUUGUCACUUGAAGAUGAGGCAUAGAGGCAUGUGACAGCCUUUGUGUGUUCACGAACUUCUUGAAUCAACCUUAAGUCUCUCUUCCCAGCAUCCCAUACCUAAUGUGCAAGAUGAAAGGAACUCUUGUGGGAUCAUGUUGUUUGUCCAUGUGUGUGCACGAUGAGUGGAGAGAUAGAGGGAGAUGCAUGCAAGCGUGGUUUUUGAAGUUCAAACCUUUAUAGUUCCAUCAGAAUGGCCGCUCAGAACCCAACUUUUUAGAGGAAGCAAAGACAGAAUCCCACCGUUUGAGCAUGAAUCUAGCUCAACCACUUCAUCACAACACCACAACUCUGUCUGAAACACAGGAAAUAUUAGGAGAAAAUAAUCAUCCAUGUAUAACACAACUUGAAAUUAAGGGAUGCAUGGUCCAUUACUCACUGGAUCAACAGAAGGCAGCUUUAUCAAGGCUUUUAGCAUGUCACUUACAACCACUGAAUUCUUUUUAAGCUUUCUCAAGGUUUUAUACAUGCACUUGGCAUAUGCUCCCAGUUCUUCUAAUGCACCUUAAAAUUUGAAAUUUCGAGUUAACAAUUGUAUAGAUAGAUACAUUCAAAAGGUUUUUGUAUGAUUAUUAAGUUCUCCGUUAGCAAAAUUACCUGGAUCAUUAAGGAAGCAAUUCAAAGCAAGGGUUGCCAAAAUCUUCUCCUCAAGAUUCUUUGAUGAUUGGAGGACAUUGAUGAAUGGCUCGAGGAAUGACUUGUGAGCAACAUUUCUUACACCAGUGUCAGGAAGAUGAUAAAGCAUGUAUGUAAGCCAUGUGGCAACAACAAGGCAUGACUUUGCUAUCUCUAAAGAAUUACUCUUCAGGCAUUCCUCCAAGGCUUUAAAGAUGGAUCCUUUUUCAUGGUUGCAAAGAACAAAAACUACUCUUUUUUGCCAAGAAGUGACAGCUUUCUCUUCCUCUUCCUGUAUAUAAAUAUUUAGAAUUCAAGAUCGAUGCAGAGAGAAGGAAAAACAUAAAGAGCAACAAGCUCCAAAACAACCCAAACUACAUCAAUGCUAACCGUUGUCUCUGUCAGUUCAUUUUCAUAUAUUUUCAGCCUCUCCGACUUCAUUAAAGCAUGGUAAGGUUGAUCAUAUCCUGCGAUCUUGAGUAACCAGGCUUCAGUGUAGGACUUCCCUGAGGUAGUCAGAUGUCCAGAAAGAGAUAAUAAAGCAUCUAGAGCCAUGAUUUGAGAAUGAGGAAAGUCUUUUUUGUGAAGUGCUUCAACUAGUGCCUCUAUAGCUUCUUCCCUGUAAAUGCUCAUCUUUCGAGGCUCAACCUGGAGAAGUAAAAUUAUAGGAAUCUGUGACUACAUCAUCUAGCCAUUAUGUUGAACUAAUUUGUUUCCAAUUUUCAAGUAUUGUCGUUGUUUAAAAAGAAAGGAGAGAAAGAAAGAAAGAAAGAAAGAAAUCUAGGCAAACCAGAAGAUCAAGCUGAAGAAGAAGAGAAGCAAUUGCAGGUUGCUGCUCCAUGGGGGCCAUUUGUAGAUACACAAGAAAUGUGUGCAUGGUACUAAAAGCUCCUUCAUCUUUAAUUAUCUUCAAGAUCUGGUUGCAGAAUAUCCUCCUGAGACACCAUAAGAAGAGUAAACUCUUGGAUAGAAUGGAAUACCAUUACACAUUUAUGGACUUAAGAGAGAUUUUCACAAAAGGUCCUAGUGUGCAAAAAUGAUCUGAUACAGAUAGUGUGAUAAGUAAUCUCUAAGAGUCCUCAGAAGAAAUUCAAGAUCCACCCAAAACAGGAGAAAAGACACAUGGUCAAAGUACAUUGUAUAUCAAUAAUUUGGUUUCAAAUGAGAGUACAUUUAUAAAUGUAAUUAGAACGAUGUGGUUGGAAUAUAGCUAUUAAUAGUUAAUAUCAAAAACCUACCUUUAGAAAAUAAAUUAUGAAACUAGUGCAGCCUGAAACUCAAUUCAAAUUCAAUUGUUGAGACAUGAGUCAACUUGUAAGCUAGGGUAAGUGAAAUCAAGAUGUUAAGAGUUAGCUUAGAAGCUAGAGCACCUUAAAUCAAAACUUGAGCCAAGUUGAUAGACCAGUCUUUUGCAAUCAUUACACCCCUCAAAAAAGCAAAGGAAUAAUAUGAAGUAAUCAAGGGACUUCCAAGCUACUUAGGAUACUUUCCAUAGAGAAAAUAAAGAUAUAGUUCUCAAAGUAAAAGAUAUGUAUACCUGUUUAACUGAACUAGCUCAGAGAGAAACUUUGUGCAUAUGCCUCUAACAUAAUCAUCUCCAGUAUGAAAUAAUUCAAGCACGGAAGACAGAUCGAUUCUAUUUGCUAUCAAAUUCCUGCAACUUCUAUCUGCAUGGAUACAACAUAAAAGGAUGGAUACGAUGGCCUGCCUUCCUUCUACCUUAUCCAAACACUUGAUUAAUGCAGGAAUCCCGUUUGCAGAGAUAACACUCAUAGCAUUGAGGGAUCUGCUGUUUUCAUCCCCUCCCAUCAAAAUCUGCUCAAGCAAUGCUAUAGCAGCAUCCUUGGGCUCCAUUACUAACAGAAGAUUAUCCGAUUCGUCAUUUUUGUUCAGAAUUAGGUGUACUAGAGAGGGUAUAAAGUUGCGAGCUGAAAGCUGAGUGAAUGCUGGCCUCAGCUGGUAUAUAAGAACAGCAGCCUCUGCAAGACCUUUCUUUAGUAGAGCAGCCAGACAAUCAAAAUCAGAAUCUACAUUGGUAAGAGUCUCUCCCACACUUUCAUCAGCAAAUAUUAGCACAGAAAGAAUGUGAAUUGAUGUUCUGAGAACUUCUCUGUUCAUGGAAGCUGAUAGUAUUUCCACAAGCCCAUUCACAAUUGUUGGUUCGGACAAAUAAGAAUGAAUUCCCGGAUCAGCCUUUGAGUCUUUCCACAUCUUGGCUAUUGCCAGCACAGCUGCUUCACACUCUUGUAAAUCAUCUGAAUUACAGAGACACAAAACAUAGGGUUUUAACCCAUUGAUAACCGCUUCAGUAGCAGCUUGAGAUAUCACACUGGUUGGUGAAGUAGAUACCACUGUUUGCAUAAAUCUUUUGCACUUCUGAUUAGUACAAUCAUCUGACUUCUUAUGGUCGGGGGGAUUACAUGAUGGAGAAGAUGCCAACAUAAUUUCUUUUGUGGACGGGGGGCUGAAUGAGUUUCUUGGUGUUUCAGGGUAAGAGAACUCCUGAGCAACAUCAGGAUAUUGUUCUUUCCAAGUAGUGAUUAAUCUCUUCAAAACAUAGUUUGUUUUGGGCAGUGAGCUGGCAGAUAGAGGUUGCCGUGUAAUGGGACAUGUUGUGUUUCCUCUUUUCAGCCAUUCUUGAAUUGCUUUUCUUUCAUAUGUUUGACCUGUUUCAAGGGUAACUGCAUCACUAAAAAUCUGCCCUGUGAUGGGGCAGACAAAAUCUUUAGGCGGCCUUGACCUAGGAGUCAGUUUAUCAGAUAAUGGGAGAGAAAUGCAGCUCUGGCUUCCUUCAUCAUUUUCAUUAAGGGAGCUGCAGAAAGCCAAAGAAAUUUUAACUUAAUAUGAGAGAGCAAUGGUUUUCUUGUAAUAGACCAUUGUUGGAGAAAUUUUGGAUGAUGGUACAACGGGAAGAGAAGACAAACUGUAUAAAUUCCUGAAAAAUGGAAAAGAAAAAAAAAUUUGGUUACCUAUUUUCUGAUACUUGUCUAUUCAGAUUUUGAUGACUGAUACUUUGAUUGUGUCCAUGGUUUUUCCUGCAGCUUCUUGGUAGCUCCUGAAUCACAAAUCUACUUUCAGUUAAACUAAUGUCUAACAUUAUGAGUUCAAAUAAUACAAAUGGAUGAUGAAAAUUUAAAUAGAGAGAGAGAGAGAGAGAGAGAGAGAGAGACAUACAAUCACUUCACCAUCUGAGUCUGCUGAGCUAAUGCUGGAAUCUUUAUACAAACGUGGAGACACAGGCAAGGAGGUGGAGACAGUGGAAUCCAUGGCACGGCUGGAUAAGAGGCGCAAUACGGAUGUGGGACCUUUAUGACAAUGCGAGUCUGAUUUUGGAGAUGAAAUCUUUAGAGAAGUUUUAGGGGAGUCCGUGGAAGAAAAACUUGUCGAAGAAGGUAGUUGACUCCUAAUUUUUGGUGGCUGUACUUUUGGCCCCAUUUCCUUAUAAAUGUUCAUUUUCAUGCUACUAUGAGAUACUACUUGAUAUGUUUUGUCCUCAGAAUCCAUAUAAGCACUAUCAGGCUCAUAAUCUGAAUUAUCUUCAUUUUCCUCAAUCGUUUCCUCCUAAUAAUAAGAACCAUUAAGAAAGCUUUUGUUAUUCCAAAAAACAAUGUUCUGAGAGGAACAUGAAACAACAAAUAAUUAUGCAUUUAUUGGUCAAGCUUGUAAAUAGCCAUGUGAAUGCAAUGAUUCAGUUAUCAGCCUUACUUGAAGGUCCCACAUAACAGACUCCUCCAGGUUCUGUGAGGAUUUGGAAGUGACAUUCAAUCUGCUUGAAGCCAAAUGUCCAGAAGAAUACAUAUAUGAGAGCCUUUAUUAAAUGAGAACUUGAUUUUACUUUUAUAAAAUCAGCACCAAAAUAACGAACCGCUCAACUAAAAGUUUCCAUGAUGAAAAGAAAACUUCAAAUCAAUUACAAGUGGAAACUAACCUGCAAGCUUCUCUUGCAUUGUCCUUAGCUUUAAGAAUUAGAGAAAACCCAGCACUCUUAGGUAGAAUGGGCCCAAAUUUUACAUAAUCGGGAAUUGACCUGCUGACCUCAUGCAUUGGAGUCAUUGGUGGCUCUGCAAUUGGCAACAUCGGAAUCGCUCUCUUGCUAGUGUUUGAAUCAAAGUUCAAGCAAUCCAUAUAAUAUUUUGAAUAAAGCCGUGUAUUCUCAUCCAAUGAUUCUCCAUAAAGUUGCUCCAGCUUUUGCAUUUUCUCUGCUUGAUCAGGCCUCAUGGAAAAGAUCAGGGACUCAUUAAAGAAUUGAUCGAAAUCUGCAGUAAAGGACAAAUCAGUGGAAUCAGGAAUCACUUCCAUCACAAUCCUGUGCCUUGCUUCUGAAUACCACCCAACAAUUGAACUCAUAUGUGGAAGAAACAGAGCUUUCCAGAGCUCUGGAGCAAAAUCAAUCCGUGAGAAGAAAGGAUCAACAAUAAACAUCUCGAGAAUGUGAAGAACUGAAUUGUGAACAUUGUCCCGCAGUCUCCACAGGUAAGAAAGGUUGAGAUGGGCCCAAGCAGAGAGGUAGAAAUUGGGGACUCCUGCAGUUCUCUGGUCAGAGUUCAACAUUGCACAUACUUGUAACAUUUUUUCUGCAUGGUCUAAUCGUGCAAGCUUAGUUUCCAUGUUGGAGGUAUUGAUAGCUUCUUCAAGGGCAUCAAUCCCCCAAUCCAAAUUUGCCAAUACUGCUUGAUCAGAGUAUCGAACUUCUGUGUCUUUCUCACAGCUUCCAUCUUCAGCUGCUAAUCUCUCUGCACACUGUUCUUUGUGUUGGGCUCUCUGUUCUUUAUUGAUCAACUGAUCUUGGAUGAAACUUCCAACCGUGGUGACCAGGAAUCUAACGAUAUCCUUUUGGUCCAUUGCAAACCUGUAGUUUCCAGCCAUCUUUGGGAAGACAAAGCCAAAAUAACAAAUUCUUAGUUAAUUUUCAAACUUCUGAUUUCUAACGCUAGUCAUCUAAUAUUCCCCACUUUCAAUUACAGGAAGUGGAAUAUUGGCUUACCAAGUAUGGUUUCUGGGGCAUAACUUUCGUCCAUAAUAUAUGAAUUUAUAGCUAAUUACUGGAUAAUUGAAUAUGCAUUUCUCAAACACAAACCAAAUUUAAUCCCAACUCAGUAUACUGAGUGGUGGACAGUCAAAUUAUUGAUUUGAUUCCAACUCAUAGUAGCCGACCACAACACAAAUAGUAACCAAAUUUCUCGAAGACGACUGUAAAUACAAUCCUCGCUUUCAGCAGACUGACAAAAGAAGUAUAGAAAAACGAUAUCCCAAAACUAAGCCAAAUACUCUCCCAAUUUUGAAAACCUCUACAUUCAGAAAUUUAAAAUUCUUUUAUUUUCCCACAUUUUCUCAGCAACCAAAUGGAGCAUGAGAGAAGAGGAUAAAAAUAAAACCCUAGCCUCUGCGUAGAAUAAACAACUCUGUGAGAAAACAUCAAGAAAGAAAACUGCAUAAUCACAUCAAUUCAAAAAGGGAAACAAAACAUUAAAUCAAUUCAAAUAAAAAUUUUAAAAUUCUUUUCAAGUAAAUAUCAAGAUUUUCUCAAACACCAAAGCCCUUGAAACCACAUCAAAACACAGAGACAUAGCAAAUCUAUAUGGUCAAAAAGCACAGAAACUGAGUGCAAGUCGCUGAGCAUUUUUAUCUUAAAAAAAAUAAACAGAUCCUUCAUCUUCCCUUGCAACACAGACGAGCAAAAGAUCAUAAAGACAGAAACAGACUGAAUCGCACAGUGACUGAAAGAGCGGAGAACGAUGCUUACUGUAAUCUCGUAAUGGGAGAUGGAUGAUCAAUCAGCCACCUACUCAUCAGUCUCUCCAGAAUACUCCAUUGAGAUUCAAAAUGGAGAGUGAACUCUCUUUUUGAAUUGAAUUGUAGAGAGAGAGGACGGCUUUUGGUUUUGGAUUGAAGGAGCAUGGCCGGCUUUGGAUGUUGCCAUGUCCAAGCAAACCGUGGACUGAAAAUAAAUUUUUUAAUACUCCCUCCCUCAUUUGAAUAAUCCAUUAAUAACGGAGGGAGGAGCAUUGCGCUUUUUUGGCCAAGUCUUCUCAAUUGUUUCAACUCCAAACAAAUCACAUCGGUUAAAAUUCAAAAAUGACCAAUUUUCCACCUUCCUUCGCCUUGCCUUCACUUUCAUUUGGCGGGAAGCAUACCCGUCAUUACUACAUCCCAUUGUUGGGCACCCCCUUCCUUAGUGUUUCUAUAUAUAUAUAUAUAUAUAUAUAUAUAUAUAUAUAUAUAUAUAUAUUAUGUAAUAAAUAAAUUCACGUACCUUUACCGGUAAAAUUGUUUUUUUUUUUUUUUUUUUAACAAAUUAAGGUGAUGUUUGUAGUAUUUUAUUUCUAUUAAGUAUUAAAAAGUAAAAAAAAAUUAAUAUAUUAUUUUUUCUAUUAAAAAACAACAACAUAUUUUAGUUUUUUAUACUUAAUAAAAAAUUUAUAAUAAAUUAUAAAAAAAAAUAGAAAAACAAACAACUUUAAUCCUGAAAACAAAUUACUUUCAGUAAAAAACCAAAAAAACAAAUACCACCUAAAUGUUUGAUAAACAAAUUAAUACUUUAAAAAAUAAUUUAAUAACUUACAUAAAUUAAUAUAUUUCAUAAAAUAACUUAAUAAUAUGACUUAAAAUAAAAAAUAAUUUUAAAUAAUAAAUAAAAUCAAUUAAAUUAUUUUUAACCUCAUAUUUUUAUUUUAUCUUUUUACUUUUAUUUAUCUUAAUUGCCUUUACGAUCUCCUUUGUUACUUUACUUAUAAUAAUAAUUAAGUAAUAAAUUUUAAAUUAAUAAUUUAAUUAUAAUUUAACUUAAAAUCAAUUUAAUUUCUUAAAUAAUAAAUAUUAAGUUUUACUUAAACCUCACGUUUUUUUUACCUCUUAAUUAUUUUAAUCAAAAUAUCUACGUUCCAUUUUGAGUAAAUAUAAAAGCAGCCGUCUAGUCAAAUCUAUGUAGCAGAUCUCACCACGCCAAGAUUAUAUAUAUAUAUAUAUAUCCACAGAGUCAUUCCUACUACCUCGAAAUUGUCCUUUUCUCUUUGUUCUUAAUGCUUAUUUAGGACAAAAUGUCGUUCUCAACUAAGAAUAUAUACGUAUUUUCUAGUAGCUAUGACAAAAUAACUUCAAGCUGCAUUUGAAUUUGUCAAAGUACCAUAGGAUUUCACCAAGAAUCAAGCUUCCAGCCUUCCACCCUCUAGUCUCUACACGCCACAGCAAUAGCACCUUUUCUUCAUCGUUGUCCACUACUAGUCUAGUUGUAAAAAUGAGGAAUCAUCGUAGUGGGCCUCGUAUUCAGGCUUAAGUUUUUAGCUGGGCCCAUAUUAUGCAAAGCCCAGUAUUGGGCCGUUUAAGUUUGGGCAGUGCAAAGGCCGUCCAUAUAGAGAGGAGAGGGAUAGCCGACGCAGGAGUUGCGGUGUGGGCCAUGAUAAUGGCCGAGUUAAAGGCGCCAUUAGCGUAAUGGCAGACCGCUGGAUAUCACUCAAUAUCGAAUUUGACGUCCAACAGUGAUAUAAAUUCGAAAGAAGCAGGAAGUUGCUUAAGAAUUUUAUGCAGGGCAAGUGUAUGUCUCAUGGAUGCGAUUUCUGUUUAGUUAUCGCAAAACAGUGUUCGAGAAUAAUCUUCUCGUAUUUCAUAACAGUAAAUAUAUUUUUUAAAUUAGGAGAAAAUUACUAUUAAUUGUUUUUAAGAAACAUGUCUUAUAUUUCUAUAAAUGCAUUUUUUUUAAUUUAAUAAAAUAUGAUAUUUUCAUUCUGACUUUAAAAUUUUAAUAUAAUUUAAUUUGACUUAAAGUUAAAUAAAAUUAAAUGUCAUUAAGUAAGUGUUUGAUAAAUCAAUUUAAUAAUUUAAAAUAAUAAAUAUUAAUUUUAUCAAAUAUCUCUUAAAUUUCUAAAUUAAUUUAUUUUUAUUGGUGUCUAAAUGUUAUUAAAUGUUAAGUUAUUUAUUUUUAUUCAUAUUUAAACGUGGAUUGUUGUUUUUACCUAUGUUAUAAUUAUUAUAUUGAUUUUUGAUUUUAAAAUUAUUAAUCCUAAAAUAAUAAUAAUUUAACAUAUUUUCAAAUAUCCUAAAAUAUCAAAAUUUAUUUUUAUGAUAAAAAAAAUGAUAAUCAUUAAUUUGUUAAGAUAUUAUAGGUUACCAAAUGAUAGUAAAAUCAGUUACUCUACUGAUUGAUUUUUAGAUUAAAUUCUUAAACUUGAUCUAAUAAGUGACAUCAUAAUAAGUCGGUAUUUCCUUGAAUUUGAGAUAGGUGGUAAUUUGUUUUACUUUUGUUGGAUUU